UUUUUCUUCUUUUAAAUACCCAACCUUUAGUUUUUGUCUGAAAUUUAUCCGAUCACCGGUUUUUUCUUACGCCGGCGCCGAAAAUGCCACUGUGGCAGCCGGAAUUCUCCACUUGGCUCAUUUGCGACAUGUGGCAAAAAAAUCUGAAAAAAAAUGAAAUUAAAAAUACAUGUGGAAAAAAAAUAAAAAUAAAAAAGAAAAGAAAAGAAAAGGAAAAUCACCACCCCCCAAUCGUCCUUUUUCCCUUCCCCCACCCCAAACCCUAACUCUCCCUCCCC
rnacentral:lncRNA from 1 species